CCUACGGGGGGCAGCAGUGGGGAAUAUUGGACAAUGGGGGGAACCCUGAUCCAGCCAUGCCGCGUGUGUGAAGAAGGCCCUCGGGUUGUAAAGCACUUUCAGUGAGGAAGAACGCCUGGUGGUUAAUACCCAUCAGGAAAGACAUCACUCACAGAAGAAGCACCGGCUAACUCCGUGCCAGCAGCCGCGGUAAUACGGAGGGUGCGAGCGUUAAUCGGAAUUACUGGGCGUAAAGCGCGCGUAGGUGGCUUGAUAAGCCGUGUGUGAAAGCCCCGGGCUCAACCUGGGAACGGCAUCCGGAACUGUCAAGCUAGAGUGCAGGAGAGGAAGGUAGAAUUCCCGGUGUAGCGGUGAAAUGCGUAGAGAUCGGGAGGAAUACCAGUGGCGAAGGCGGCCUUCUGGACUGACACUGACACUGAGGUGCGAAAGCGUGGGUAGCAAACAGGAUUAGAUACCCCUGUAGUC
rnacentral:rRNA from 1 species